rnacentral:lncRNA from 1 species
UCAAACUCGUGAUCGGGUGCCCCUUUUCACCACGGUUGGAAGUUCUAACUCUAUUAAAAAGUGGCUUAAAAAUAAAUAAAAAACAAAAUUGUAGGUGCUAGGAUUCAAACGCAUCACCAAGCGCCACUUUUUACCACGGUUGGUACUUAUGACCAUUGUGAAAUGUCUUUUAGUAAAUACAAAAAAAAAGCGCCAAAAAAAU